CUCCUUCCAAAUAUCCUUCACGUCUUUCUCUGUCUUUUCUUUGACGUUCCUUAGACCCUUGAUUUUUUCCGCAUCUGCCUUUUCGUUCUCCCCAACCAGGUCCUUGAUUUUCUCCUCCUCCCACGCCUCCUUCAUUUCCUCCUCUUCUAGGUCCUCCAGUUUCUACUCGCCCCCAAACUCCUUUGUUUUCUGUCCAUUCUAUGCUACCUGACCAACUUCCCAAAUAUCCAUCAUUAUGUCCUCCUCCAUG
rnacentral:lncRNA from 1 species